CGAUCUCCCACCAUCACAUUGAAAAGGCUUUCCUCCAGGCAACCCUGGCUGGGUUCCCACUUGAUAGGCCAGUUGCAAAGUAAAAAAAUGGCUAUAUAGUAAGAAUGUAUGUGAACAAAAAUUAGUUUUUUUGGUCUUAAUUCAAGGUUAUGCAUAAGGUUUGCAAAUGUGAUUAGGGUUAGGUUUUGAAGAAGAGAAAUAUGAGUUCCUCAGCUAAGGCGAGGCGACGCAACAAACAACUGGCGAACUCUGCUGGUUCACGCUGGGUUCAUAGCCUCCCCCUGAAAAAGUGUCCCAGCGGCAGAGAGGAAAAGUCCAGCAGGAGAGGGUCCUUCAGGCCAUCCGGUGCAUAGACAUCCUGUUCCAGCGGGAGAUGAUCCUUCAGGCCAUCCGGUGCAUAGACAUCCUGUUCCAGCGGGAGAGGAUCCUUCAGGCCAUCCGGUGCAUAGACAUCCUGUUCCAGCGGGAGAGGAUCCUUCAGGCCAUCCGGUGCAUAGACAUCCUGUUCCAGCGGGAGAGGAUCCUUCAGGCCAUCCGGUGCAUAGACAUCCUGUUCCAGUGGGAGAGGAUCCUUCAGGCCAUCCGGUGCAUAGACAUCCUAUUCCAGCGGGAGAGGAUCCUUCAGGCCAUCCGGUGCAUAGACAUCCUGUUCCAGCAGGAGAGGAUCCUUCAGGCCAUCCGGUGCAUAGACAUCCUGUUCCAGCAGGAGAGGAUCCUUCAGGCCAUCCGGUGCAUAGACAUCCUAUUCCAGUGGGAUCCGAGUGUAAGCAUACCAUUUUAGAGACUACAGCACAUCCAGCCUGUGGACGAACAGACAUGAGGCAUGACAUGCGGAACAUCAGGCUCACCCCGCGAGAAGCAGUGCAGGAUCAACACCAUCCUGAGCAAGGAGAUCUGCUGGAAGUGAUGUACUCUCUCACUCUGGGGGUACUGACAGGUGGUGGGACGAGAACGUUGAUCCAGUGCCUCCCACCACCCAAAAAACCCCAGAUUGGAAUAAAACCUCAAGUGCCAACUUCGGGAGCAUGCGGUCCUUGAACAACUCCUCUAGUCCAGCAUUAUGAGUCUGCCAGAGGUUGUCACGCUGGAUAGGGAUGGUGAUGGAGGAUUUGAUGGUCCAACAAAGAAGCAGGUGUCCUUCCAGUGAUGUGGAACUACCUGGUGCUAUUUCACCCCAGACCAACAAAUCAUCGAUGACGUCGACUACUCCAUCCAGGACCUUCAAUUAUCUGUGCCACGGAUCUCUGGAACACCUCAGACGCAGAUGAGACACCAAAGGGUAAACGCAAGAAUCAGAUUCAGAUGGUUUAAUAGUCACAUGUACAGGGUUGCAGGUGUGAUUGCAGGGUACAGUGAAAAUCUUCAGCUUGGAGCUCCAACA
rnacentral:lncRNA from 1 species